rnacentral:rRNA from 1 species
UACAGAGGUCUCGAGCGUUGUUCGGAUUCAUUGGGCGUAAAGGGUGCGUAGGUGGCGCGGUAAGUCGGGUGUGAAAUCUCGGAGCUUAACUCCGAAGCUGCAUUCGAUACUGCCGUGCUUGAGGACUGGAGAGGAGACUGGAAUUUACGGUGUAGCGGUGAAAUGCGUAGAUAUCGUAAGGAAGACCAGUGGCGAAGGCGGGUCUCUGGACAGUUCCUGACGCUGAGGCACGAAGGUCAGGGGAGCAAACGGG